rnacentral:rRNA from 1 species
UGCCAGCCGCCGCGGUAAUACGAAGGUCCCAAGCGUUGUUCGGAAUAACUGGGCGUAAAGCGUGUGUAGGCUGCGCGGAAAGUCAAAUGUGAAAGCCAAGGGCUCAACCCUUGAACUGCAUUCGAUACUCCCGUGCUAGAGUAAUGGAGAGGUAAGUGGAAUUCUUGGUGUAGCAGUGAAAGGCGUAGAUAUCGAGAGGAACAUCAAUGGCGAAGGCAACUUACUGGACAUUUACUGACGCUCAGACACGAAGGCUAUGGGCGAGAAAGGGAUUAGCUC